rnacentral:lncRNA from 1 species
CCAGGGCCCAGCGAAUGCUUCCCAAGUGCACAGAAGACACCACGGAAGGACACAUGGGUUCUGUGAACCCCACAAAAUUCACGACGUGGCACAUAAAGGCCAAACACACACGCACACAAGGCUUCAGGGAGACGAGAAGGGACAAACACACGCACACAAGGCUUCAGGGAGACGAGAAGGGACAAACACACCCACACAAGGCUUCAGGGAGACGAGAAGGGACAAACACACACGCACACAAGGCUUCAGGGAGACGAGAAGGGACACACACACACACAAGGCUUCAGGGAGACGAGAAGGGACAAACACACACACAAGGCUUCAGGGAGACGAGAAGGGACACACACACACAGGGCUUCAGGGAGACGAGAAGGGCCAAACACACACGCACACAAGGCUUCAGGGAGACGAGAAGGGACACACACACACGCACACAAGGCUUCAGGGAGACGAGAAGGGACACACACACACGCACACAAGGCUUCAGGGAGACGAGAAGGGCCAAACACACACGCACACAAGGCUUCAGGGAGACGAGAAGGGACACACACACACGCACACAAGGCUUCAGGGAGACGAGAAGGGACACACACACACGCACACAAGGCUUCAGGGAGACG